GCUGCCGAUUUCGUGCCGCUCAUUCGCGGCGCAGCGGCCAAACUGGCAGCAGCUCUUUCAAAUGUCUUUCUCUGGUAGUGGCUUAGCGGUUGUCACCAUAAAACCAGUUUUUCUGAUACGGCACAGGGCUUUCAAGAUCCCACAAGGCUGCGGUCGAUGAUGUGCCAUGGGAGAGUCGGUAUCCCUUCCUGACAUCGUCAACAGCAGAAGCUGAGCUGAUGCUGGCUGGAAACUUUUCUUCGAGAAGUGUCUGGGCCAAGGCUCGGAGCACUGAUGGGGUGCGGUCUGCGGACUUGGUGGCGCAGUGGACCACAGCCCAGUACAGGAACAUCAAGCUUACGGGGGUAACCGACCGAUCGUGCACCUUAGACUGUAUCUUCAUAUGAAAUACUUCCAUUUGCGUGUAUCAAGAGCACGCGAGUACAAAGCACCGGACCUGUCUCACAUAUACGUCUUUUCUCUGUGUUGGUUCGGUAUCGCCCUUAAAGACUACAGUAAUUCACAGAAGCAGGUGAAUCAACAACAAGACAUACGUGACGACGAUGACAUGUGGUGUUCCAUCGCAGGAAUUGCGAUACUGUACCCCGGAAGCAGGUGACACUCAUUAUGAGGCACACAAGGAUCUCAUUUUCACAACACAAUCCGACUCGAGUGGAGUGCACUAUAUUUUCAUCUCAGUUGAAAUCAGAAUGCGGCGUAUGUAGUGACAAAUGGAAAGGGGUAAAAAUACGCAGGAAAAUUACAAAAAUUCCGAAUUGAGAUCAAACGGUACGUGGAGGAGUGUUCUGUAAUUCCGGAAUCAUAGGAUGCGACCUUUUCCGAAUCAAGGUCCGGUGAUGAGCAAACGCAGCGCAACAACUAUAUGUCAUGAUGAUGGUGUGGGUAAAUUCGGCGCUUCACACUGCUGUCCCUUUGCCGUUGGGUCUAGCAUGAUGGGGAUGAUGAUGUAGUGUGGUGUAUAGUGGGAAAAUGCGAACAGAUACCAAGCAGGUCGGUCGAUUUGUAAAACGUUUACAACAGAACGCAUGGUUCUAAUGGUUCUAAGUUUGGUCGCGCGUUGUCCCGAGCACUGAGGGUGCGAGACGAAGCUGAGGAGGUCGGUUGUUCAGCUUUCCAAUUUAAAACAGCAGUCGAUGUCGCUCACUUUCGUACCGGCAUCAGACAACAUAGGUAUUAUCUAUGUUCGCUAGCACACUGCACCCGCAGAACGGCCUGUCGCAGACUAUUUGGGGGCGAUAACACGGAGCGAAGGCGACUUCAAAGACGAGGGUGAUUGAAUCCCUGCCAACUCCCUCUUGCAAGGCGUUGUUUUGAUGCUGAAGCAUAUUGUGCAACGAAACUCGCAGAGUUGCAAUUACAAUCUGCUCAUUUCCAAAGCCGUUCCAGGAAAUACUAAACUCCGAAGGCUGUGGAAUGCUUAGUACAGGUGAAAAACAAAAACGUGGAGUACUUAAUCCCAACGAGCCCGUUUGCAUAGAGGUCGAGGAUGAGUCUCAGACUCAUUCACAAUAGCCUUGGCAGUGCAUGAAGCACGCGCUCGGUGCGCGUGGAGGAAGCGCUACCAAGGCUAUCGCGAAUGAGUCUGAGACUCGUACUCAACUUUUAUGCAAACGGACUGCCUACUGCGACAGUUGUAUUAUGGGAAAAUAUCCAUGACAGUAUGUGCUUCCUCAUUGUCUCGUUUUUUUCAGCGUGCUCUCACUUAGUAAGAAAGGUGAAAACAGCGCCUCAGGUGCACUCUCUAAAACAGAGGGGGGGGGGGGGGUAUAAUGGCAUGAUCGG